rnacentral:rRNA from 1 species
GACGAACGCUGGCGGCGUGCUUAACACAUGCAAGUCGAACGGAAAGGCCCUGCUUUUGUGGGGUGCUCGAGUGGCGAACGGGUGAGUAACACGUGAGUAACCUGCCCUUGACUUUGGGAUAACUUCAGGAAACUGGGGCUAAUACCGGAUAGGAGCUCCUGCUGCAUGGUGUGGGUUGGAAAGUUUCGGCGGUUGGGGAUGGACUCGCGGGUUAUCAGCUUGUUGGUGGGGUAGUGGCUUACCAAGGCUUUGACGGGUAGCCGGCCUGAGAGGGUGACCGGCCACAUUGGGACUGAGAUACGGACCAGACUCCUACGGGAGGCAGCAGUGGGGAAUAUUGCACAAUGGGCGGAAGCCUGAUGCAGCAACGCCGCGUGCGGGAUGACGGCCUUCGGGUUGUAAACCGCUUUCGCCUGUGACGAAGCGUGAGUGACGGUAAUGGGUAAAGAAGCACCGGCUAACUACGUG